rnacentral:misc_RNA from 1 species
GAUGAAGAACGUAGCGAAAUGCGAUAAGUAGUGUGAAUUGCAGAAUUUAGUGAAUCAUCGAAUCUUUGAACGCACAUUGCGCCCUAUAGUAUUCUGUAGGGCAUGCCUGUUCGAGCGUUAUUGAGACCUCAAGCUCUGCUUGGAAAUGGGCGCUUGUCUUGCCUUGCAGACUCGCCUUAAAACCAUUGGCAGCUGAUUUACAAUGUUUGGUGCACAGUACAUGAGCCCAAGUGUUGCAAUGAGUGGCCCAAAAGUAUACAAUAGAAGCUUAACCUCGGAUCAGGUAGGGAUACCCGCUGAACUUAAGCAUGUCAAUAAGCGGAGGA